rnacentral:lncRNA from 1 species
AAAAAACAUUGGUACUUAAGAAUAUGAAGGCAAAUUUCAACGAAAAGCUCUGCUAGAACAGUCAAGUGGUUGGAAGGAAAUAACGGAUCCAGUACAAAAGGACACAUCUGCGUUUUAGAACUGUGGAGAAAUAGGAGCCUUAAGUACAAAAGGAAGCAGAGAAAUGUUUUGGAAGAAGGAGAAUUUCCUUCCCGGAUUCCAAAGCUGGCAAGGAUCAGUAAUCACACUUCUGUUAUUUUCUACAUCAGAUGCCUGAUCUGAUUAUCUCUGCUUCUGCUUCUUUACGCUGCGCUGCAUGUGGUCUGCUUUUUACAACCCAGGAUUCACACAAUGAAUGUAAGGCUCCGUGCAGUCGCCCUUGUAGUUUUAAUCUCCCCUCGCCCAGGUUUUAAAAGGAAGGCUGGUGCGCCUUUAUGCCUGGAUUAAUGCUGGUAUGUGACUUAAUUAAUUAAAUAGCGUAAUCCAUCCAAAGAAACCCGCUUCUCUCCCCUCAGAUUGCUGUUCCUCAUUUCUCACACAGCAAGGCUGUUUCUUGUGAUGCACCUAAUUGAGGGUACCUCUCCCUCAGCAGAUGGAAAGCUGCCUUUUAGCCACACUCGUGUAUAAAUUGUUUUG